AGAGACUUUCGUUCCACGGUGGCUUUCCACCGUCCAGUGGUACCUCUGUAGCUGCCCUGACUCACUGUGCCAUCAAAAAUCUCCUUCAAUCAAACCAGCCUCUGAAUGCACUCGACAAGGUCCUGCAUGUUGAAGCCUGCAAUCUGCAAAUCUGCACCAUCUUUCUAAAGCUGCCUGCUGCUUACAUUUUGAGAGGAGGAUGAGGUUAAUUAUCGGAGGUGGAAAAUAAAUAUCACAGAGCAGCUGGACAUGGGGGAGCUUGCAGCGUCAGCAAAUCAUGGACACUCACCCUGCUACCCAGAGAGAAAAGGGACCCCUGGAGACUUGAGCAAAAGAAAAAUGCUGGUACAUUUUUACCCCAGGAGGCACAGCCACCCCAGAGCCACACAGCAAUGGAUACUUAAGAAUAAGACACAAGAAGGUAGCCACCUGCAAACCAAAAGGAGAGUCCUUUCCAGACCCUGGAUCUGCUGGCACCCAGAUCUUGGACUUCCAGCCUCCAGAACCAUGAGAAAUUGAAGAUCAUUGCUUUAGCCACUCAGUGUAUGCUGUUUUAUUAUAGAAUCCCAAGUGGACAGAGGCAGGGAGGAAUAUUAUCCUGUUUCUCCAAUGGUUGUCAUUAAAGACCCAUCAAGCCUGCUGUGUGCCUCAGAGCCAGAUUCCAAAAUGCCCUCAAGUUGACUUCAAGUUUUCUGCCCACAGCUCUGUAGCCAAUUUGGGGCACGUGUACCGUCCACACCAUUCCAUGCCCUGGAAGUUGGCAUGGAAAACAAAAAUUGCAUAAUCUCCCUCAUACGUGGAAUCUAAAAAAGUCAAACUCAUAGAAAUAGAGAGUAGAAUGGUGGGUGCCAGAGGAUGGGGGCAUGCAGUGUAUGUUGGUCAAAGGGUACAAAGUUUCAGUUAGACAGGAAGGAUAAGUUCUGGUGAUCUAUUGCAUAACAAGGCUGUACAGGAGGCAUGGCUGGGGAGGCCUCAGGAAACAUACAAUCAUGACAGAAGAUGAAGGGGAAGCAAGCAUAUCUUACCAUGGUGAUGGAGGAGAGAAAGAAGGAGUGAGUGGGGAGAUGCCACACACUUUUAAACCAUCAGAUCUCAUGAGAACUCCCUGACUAUCACAAGAGGAGCAAGAAGGAAGUCCACUCCCACGAUUUAAUCACCUCUCACCAGGCCCCUCCUCCAACACUGGGGAUUACAAUUUGACAUGAUAUUUGGGUGGAGACACAGAGCCAAACCAUAUCAGUGACUGUAGUUAAUAAUAUAUCGUAUAUUUUUAAAUUGCUCUAAAAAUUGAAUUUCAAAUGUUCUCACCAUAAAGACAUGACAAAUAUGUGAAGUGAUGAUUAUUUUAAUUAGCCUGAUUUGUUAAUGCCACAAUGUAUAAAUGUAUAAAAAUCACGUUUUAACCCAUAAAUACAUGUAAUUGUUAUUUGUCAAUUAAAAAUAAAAAUAAAUUGAAAACUAAAAAUAGUAAAGGGAGUUCCCUCCAUGAAGGAUCAAUGAGUACAUGCCAUAGAUUUAAUUUUGACAGCAAGAAACAAGAAGGUUGCAACAGUCCAAACAUUGUGUGAUAAAUGGUUGCUCUUAAAAAUAUUUUUAUAGUUUGCCUCAAUAAGCUAAGACAUAAGUUAUAAUCUAUUAGGUAGGAGUAUAUUCAUUCAGUGGCUUACUGUUAUACUCAUAAACAGCUUCAUCCUACUUACCCAAGGUUAGUUUUCAUGAAGACUGAUCAUCUGAAUAAAUUUGGUUGCAAAUACUAAUUAUUGAAAUUAAUGGAUACCUACUGUGGAUGUCUAUUGUUCUAAGUAUUCAACACAUAUUCAAGUGGGUUUCAUCAAUGACUAAAGCAAGGCUCUAUUAACCUAUUUACAACCAAGAUGGCAGCCCAGUGUGAGACUCAUGAUGGUGGCCCACUGUGAGACUUCUCUCCCCAGCCUCUGGUAACCAUCAUUCUACACUGUAUCUCCGUGAGAUCCACUUUUUUGAGUUCCCACACAGGAGUGAGAAUAUGCACUGUCUUCCAGUGGCUGGCUUACUUCACUUAACAUCAUGACCUCCAGUUUCAUCUAUGUUUGAACAGUUUUAAUCAACAUGAAAUUCACAAGAAAGCAAAAGAGUGGAAACAGGACUGCAGUCAAUUGCCUUGAUCAGAACCUGAUCAAGAACUAGUCACCACUUUGGAAAACACCAUCUAUGGAAAUCCUCCUGCUGCUAUUUGAGUUGCCAACACAACACACCAGUGUUGGCAGUUCUGGUAUCUAUCUCAAUGAUUACAUCUAGAGCAA
ensembl:lncRNA LINC01546 long intergenic non-protein coding RNA 1546